AUCCAGCACACUGGCGUAUUCUCUAAACAAUGAUUUCAAAUCUUAGAGAUUGAAAUCAUUGUUUAGUGAAUAAGCGAGUGCGCUGGAU